GACGAACGCUGGCGGCGUGCUUAACACAUGCAAGUCGAACGAUGAAGCCGGAGCUUGCUCUGGUGAAUUAGUGGCGAACGGGUGAGUAACACGUGAGUAACCUGCCCUUGACUCUGGGAUAACUGCGGGAAACUGUAGCUAAUACCGGAUACGACCCUCGGAGGCAUCUCCUGGGGGUGGAAAGAAUUUCGGUCAAGGAUGGACUCGCGGCCUAUCAGCUAGUUGGUGAGGUAACGGCUCACCAAGGCGACGACGGGUAGCCGGCCUGAGAGGGUGACCGGCCACACUGGGACUGAGACACGGCCCAGACUCCUACGGGAGGCAGCAGUGGGGAAUAUUGCACAAUGGGCGCAAGCCUGAUGCAGCAACGCCGCGUGAGGGAUGACGGCCUUCGGGUUGUAAACCUCUUUUAGCAGUGAAGAAGCGAAAGUGACGGUACCUGCAGAAAAAGCACCGGCUAACUACGUGCCAGCAGCCGCCGUAA
rnacentral:rRNA from 1 species